AUCAGCCUAAUUACUUGGCAAUCCCCCUGAUUAGCAGCUGCUGCCCUAAUACCUUUAAAAGACCUAGAAGUACCGGUGAGUGACUGCGCUGUAAUUCUUGCUCCCCUUCCGUUGAGAAUGCUCCCUGUCUAGCGUGGUAGGUGUCUUUUCUUAGUGGGUUGUGUUGGCUUUCCACACUUUAUGUUUAUGGGCUUACCUUUUGUCUUGUAGCCUCGUAACUGCUGUUUGCCUCCUCCACCACUCCUGUUGAGGGUAUUUCUAUUUCCUGCCAGCUCAGUGCGGAUCUGUGACCUCACCGUAUCUGGAGCGGGUGCGUGUAGCCUGGUUGACUGGAAUGCCGGACUUCACAGGCGCUGCUGUUUUGUCUGAUGAUCGAUUGCUGUCUAGUGUUUGUCUCGUUGUCUUGCUUGUAACUGGUGACUAUUUUGUGAGUUUUAUUUUGUUUGUUUGCUCCGUCUUUGUCCAGUCGCGUAUUGUCUGCGUCUGCUUUCGUAUACUCUGUGUCUUUAUUUUGGGUUUUCUUUUGGUUUUGUUGGUGAAGCUACCUAUAACAUCUACUGCUUGAAGCUGCCUAAUUAUAACAUCUAGGCUACUGCAUGUUGCCAGUGUUUCCCGUGCGCUGUCGCAUGAUUAGUAUCGCUCUCAGUUUUGUUUGCAUGUGAUUGUGUAUGCUGUCGCUUUGCAUGAUUUAAGCUUUGUCAGUGUUAGUGUUGCCGUCUUCAGUGUAUUGUGGUUGUGUCCUUUUUGGUUGAUUUAUUGCUAUCCUCUGGUGCCUUAAUUGUUUUGUUUGUUUGUUUGUUUGUUUGUUUGUUUGUUUGGCAGGUCGGGGCGCUCCUAAGGGGAGCUAGGCACCUGGUGGUGGGACCCUAUCACUGCAUGUUUGCUGUGCUUUAUUGUGCUGUGUGUUGCUGUGCUGUGCUGUGCGGUUCAGUGUACUGCUUACUGCAGCCUGCGUUAUAGAGAAACUCACUUCACUCCGAGUGUGUGUGCACGUGUGUUUGGUGUGAAUCUUGGAACACAUCAUCAGUAGCGUGCCUCCCUUGGGUAAGCUCCCUCCUAGCUGCAUUUAUUGAGUUCUGUGGACGUUUGGUCCCUCAAAUGCCUAGACUCCAAUGUAUGAUCUAUAAGAUCUGAUUUUAAGAACUUGUCAUACAACAAUAUUUAAUAAAUAUAUAUUUAUGUAUUGUCUUUAACCAUUGUGAGUCUUUUAGGUUUUCCCAGCAUAAGAGAUCUGCAG